UGGAGCAAUGGUUCGAAGGAGAGAGAUUUGCUUGCUUUGUAGUCUUCAGAACAGAAAACUGAAACAAAACAGCUACUCAUGGACUCGAAACCUUUGGAAAAACCCUUCUGUGCUCAGAGACCUAAACUGAAAAGCAUACUACCAUAUAGUGUCUACAUGUGCCGUGUAUCAAGGAGAACAUCACAUGGCUCCUUCAGAGGACAUUUCCAGCAUUUUUCACUCUCAAAGUUUGUUUUGGCCUUUUUUUUGUUUUAAUUAAGUUCACCAACAGUGGAAGUAUUUCAAUUUUUCAGGUCAGAACUUCGUUAUAAAUUUGCUCUCUUUGUAAUUACGGUACAAAAGCGUAUCAAGAUUACUUUUGGUAACCAUAUUCUAAUGUAUGUCUGGUACUGCUCCAGGCAACUAGGACACAGAACAUAACUUGAGGGAGGACAGAGCUGGCAGGUUGCCAUACAAGUACAGAAAAGAGGAGAGGAUAACAUUUGGCUGAACAAUAAUGAAUAGGCUUUAAGAGCUCUAAUGCUUAAAUAAUGAAAGAUUUUUCCCUCCACAAACCAAUAAACAUUUUUUUUUUCAA